CCUAACACAUGCAAGUCGAGCGGUAGAGAGAAGCUUGCUUCUCUUGAGAGCGGCGGACGGGUGAGUAAUGCCUAGGAAUCUGCCUGGUAGUUGGGGGAUAACGUUCGGAAACGGACGCUAAUACCGCAUACGUCCUACGGGAGAAAGCAGGGGACCUUCGGGCCUUGCGCUAUCAGAUGAGCCUAGGUCGGAUUAGCUAGUUGGUGAGGUAAUGGCUCACCAAGGCGACGAUCCGUAACUGGUCUGAGAGGAUGACAGUCACACUGGAAUGAGACACGGUCCAGACUCCUACGGGAGGCAGCAGUGGGGAAUAUUGGACAAUGGGCGAAAGCCUGAUCCAGCCAUGCCGCGUGUGUGAAGAAGGUCAUCGGAUUGUAAAGCACUUUAAGUUGGCGAGGAAGGGUUGUAGAUUAAUACUCUGCAAUUUUGACGUUACCGACAGAAUAAGCACCGGCUAACUCUGUGCCAGCAGCCGCGGUAAUACAGAGGGUGCAAGCGUUAAUCGGAAUUACUGGGCGUAAAGCGCGCGUAGGUGGUUUGUUAAGUUGGAUGUGAAAUCCCCGGGCUCAACCUGGGAACUGCAUUCAAAACUGACUGACUAGAGUAUGGUAGAGGGUGGUGGAAUUUCCUGUG
rnacentral:rRNA from 1 species